rnacentral:rRNA from 1 species
GAUGAACGCUGGCGGCGUGCUUAACACAUGCAAGUCGAACGAAGCACUUUGGACAGAUUCUUCGGAUGAAAUCCUUAGUGACUGAGUGGCGGACGGGUGAGUAACGCGUGGGUAACCUGCCUCAUACAGGGGGAUAACAGUUAGAAAUGGCUGCUAAUACCGCAUAAGCGCACGGUACUGCAUGGUACAGUGUGAAAAACUCCGGUGGUAUGAGAUGGACCCGCGUUGGAUUAGCUAGUUGGCAGGGUAACGGCCUACCAAGGCGACGAUCCAUAGCCGGCCUGAGAGGGUGGACGGCCACAUUGGGACUGAGACACGGCCCAGACUCCUACGGGAGGCAGCAGUGGGGAAUAUUGCACAAUGGGGGAAACCCUGAUGCAGCGACGCCGCGUGAGCGAAGAAGUAUUUCGGUAUGUAAAGCUCUAUCAGCAGGGAAGAA